rnacentral:misc_RNA from 1 species
UGGAUACGCCCACCCUCGGCUC